CACGAACGCUGGCGGCAGGCAUAACACAUGCAAGUCGAGCGCCCCGCAAGGGGAGCGGCAGACGGGUGAGUAACGCGUGGGAAUCUACCCAUCUCUACGGAAUAACGCAUGGAAACGUGUGCUAAUACCGCAUACGUCCUUCGGGAGAAAGAUUUAUCGGAGAUGGAUGAGCCCGCGUUGGAUUAGCUAGUUGGUGGGGUAAAGGCCUACCAAGGCGACGAUCCAUAGCUGGUCUGAGAGGAUGAUCAGCCACACUGGGACUGAGACACGGCCCAGACUCCUACGGGAGGCAGCAGUGGGGAAUAUUGGACAAUGGGCGCAAGCCUGAUCCAGCCAUGCCGCGUGAGUGAUAAAGGCCCUAGGGUUGUAAAGCUCUUUCACCGGUGAAGAUAAUGACGGUAACCGGAGAAGAAGCCCCGGCUAACUUCGUGCCAGCCGCCGCAGUAACAC
rnacentral:rRNA from 1 species